CUACGGGAGGCAGCAGUGGGGAAUAUUGGACAAUGGGCGAAAGCCUGAUCCAGCAAUGCCGCGUGAGUGAUGAAGGCCUUAGGGUUGUAAAGCUCUUUUACCCGGGAUGAUAAUGACAGUACCGGGAGAAUAAGCUCCGGCUAACUCCGUGCCAGCAGCCGCGGUAAUACGGAGGGAGCUAGCGUUAUUCGGAAUUACUGGGCGUAAAGCGUACGUAGGCGGCUUUGUAAGUAAGAGGUGAAAGCCCGGAGCUCAACUCCGGAACUGCCUUUUAGACUGCAUCGCUUGAAUCCAGGAGAGGUGAGUGGAAUUCCGAGUGUAGAGGUGAAAUUCGUAGAUAUUCGGAAGAACACCAGUGGCGAAGGCGGCUCACUGGACUGGUAUUGACGCUGAGGUACGAAAGCGUGGGGAGCAAACAGGAUUAGAUACCCCAGUAGUCCA
rnacentral:rRNA from 1 species